AGCACUACAAGAAUCCUCAAUACAUUUUCUAGCUAAUGAUUGAAUAUAUGAAAUUAAAAAAAAAAAAACUAUGAAGUAAGGUAUAUAUCUUUAAUACAUCUAUGAUCUGGUCUAUCAACUUCGUCAACUCACCAUUUUCUUUGUUCAGUCGGUCAGCCCACCACUAACAGCUAAUCUCCAGUUCAGUGACUCAGAUGUACAGGUUUUGGGACUAAUUUUUCAGGCUAAAUAUGGGGUCGGUCGCUCCAACGCUGAUCAGAAGACGGACACCGGCCCAUCUCUGGAGCGGCCCAUCCGCCGGAUUUCAGUGGACGAGGGAGUCCGAGAAAAGAAAGAAACUAGCCGUUUAUACAGGAGCCUCUCUCGCCUUUCGCGACCCGACUUUUAAAAUAUUCCAGAGGGAAAUCAAAGAGAUCCAAAUGCUUCUCUAUGAAUGCAUUACAUGUGGAUAGGACCAUGAUCCCUAUAAAAUUUUCCCAUAUUUCUCCCUUCCAUUCUCCAUCCCAACCUCAUCUCCGUCUCUUCUCCCAAAACUCCAUCGAAACACAGGCCAUAAAAAGAGAGGCUUUCUUCUCCCAUCUAAAAAGAACUUCCUUUUCCUCUUCCUCACACUAGAGGAGUCCACUAUAAAUCCCUCAAACAACUCUUGUGCUUCAACCUCACCUUCUUCCAUUACAACAACAAAAGACUUGGAGAGAGGAG
rnacentral:lncRNA from 1 species